CCUACGGGAGGCUGCAGUGAGGAAUAUUGGUCAAUGGACGCAAGUCUGAACCAGCCAUGCCGCGUGCAGGAAGACGGCUCUACGAGUUGUAAACUGCUUUUGUACGAGGGUAAACGCAGAUACGCGUACCUGUCUGAAAGUAUCGUACGAAUAAGGAUCGGCUAACUCCGUGCCAGCAGCCGCGGUAAUACGGAGGAUUCAAGCGUUAUCCGGAUUUAUUGGGUUUAAAGGGUGCGUAGGGGGACAGUCAAGUCAGCGGUAAAAGUGCGGUGCUCAACGCCGUACAGCCGUUGAAACUGGCAGUCGUGAGUGGGCGAGAGGUAUGCGGAAUGCGUGGUGUAGCGGUGAAAUGCAUAGAUAUCACGCAGAACUCCGAUUGCGAAGGCAGCAUACCGGCGCCCGACUGACGCUGAGGCACGAAAGCGUGGGUAUCGAACAGGAUUAGAUACCCGUGUAGUC
rnacentral:rRNA from 1 species